rnacentral:rRNA from 1 species
GGGUAUAGACCCGAAACCCGGUGAUCUAGCCAUGGGCAGGUUGAAGGUUGGGUAACACUAACUGGAGGACCGAACCGACUAAUGUUGAAAAAUUAGCGGAUGACUUGUGGCUGGGGGUGAAAGGCCAAUCAAACCGGGAGAUAGCUGGUUCUCCCCGAAAGCUAUUUAGGUAGCGCCUCGUGAAUUCAUCUCCGGGGGUAGAGCACUGUUUCGGCAAGGGGGUCAUCCCGACUUACCAACCCGAUGCAAACUGCGAAUACCGGAGAAUGUUAUCACGGGAGACACACGGCGGGUGCUAACGUCCGUCGUGAAGAGGGAAACAACCCAGACCGCCAGCUAAGGUCCCAAAGUCAUGGUUAAGUGGGAAACGAUGUGGGAAGGCCCAGACAGCCAGGAUGUUGGCUUAGAAGCAGCCAUCAUUUAAAGAAAGCGUAAUAGCUCACUGGUCGAGUCGGCCUGCGCGGAAGAUGUAACGGGGCUAAACCAUGCACCGAAGCUGCGGCAGCGACACUAUGUGUUGUUGGGUAGGGGAGCGUUCUGUAAGCCUGUGAAGGUGGCCUGUGAGGGUUGCUGGAGGUAUCAGAAGUGCGAAUGCUGACAUAAGUAACGAUAAAGCGGGUGAAAAGCCCGCUCGCCGGAAGACCAAGGGUUCCUGUCCAACGUUAAUCGGGGCAGGGUGAGUCGACCCCUAAGGCGAGGCCGAAAGGCGUAGUCGAUGGGAAACAGGUUAAUAUUCCUGUACUUGGUGUUACUGCGAAGGGGGGACGGAGAAGGCUAUGUUGGCCGGGCGACGGUUGUCCCGGUUUAAGCGUGUAGGCUGGUUUUCCAGGCAAAUCCGGAAAACCAAGGCUGAGGCGUGAUGA